UAGGUUUUGAUGAAAUUCCCCCAUACCUCUCUCACUAAUAUGUCACUUGUUAAAUUAUGCAGCAUAAGUAACCUUUGAUCUUUACUUUACAGGGGCACGCCAGGAAGGACAAGCGUCAGGGCUAUCAUCACAAACCCUCCAAGUGCAUUUAUAACUGGCGCUAAGAAGUGAUGGUUAUAGUCAAAGGUGUGGACCAGCUGUCAGAGGUCAUCAGAAAGAGAAACAUCCUGCCCAUAUUUAGUCAGUUCUGCCAGGACAGCAGGGAUAGAGACAACGGUAUAGGUGUCAUGGAGAAGUCUUUACAAAAUACUAUACAAUAUCUACACGUCUAGAAAAAGAGGAGUCUAUUCAGGACGCCAUUUACAGAACUGCUGGUCUGAGAGUCAAUAACUACCAAGCAGUGUACUGCCCCCUCACACUAUGACGUGGAUGGAACAUACUGCAGUCACUGUGCACACUCGUCAAGACAGCCCAUCAAUAUUAGAUCGACUAGGGUACUACCCCCCACACCAACACAUAUUAAAUAUUUAAAGGGGUGUUUACCAGUGUUUGUAUGUGCAUAUUAUUUGUUGUGUCAGUGCAGUAUCUACUAAUAGUACAGCGGAGCACAUGCGAGUUCUGGAGGCUGCAGUGCUUGCACAAGAUCUGCGGCCCCUUUGAACAAUUAAUCUAUGGGUAUAUCGGGAAUAAGACACUUGUCAAUCAAUACAACCUCUUUAACCCUUUGGGUAUCUAAAUAUAUACACGUAUUUAAAGCUUCACUAAAUUAGAGAGAGUUUUCACCUUUUCAACAUUGACGGUCUAGGGAAUGGAGGGAUCAAUACCAACAUCUUAAAUGAUUUAAAAAAAAAAAAAAAAGUUACUUAUCUGGGACCACAUUGUUGGCCCAAUAACAGAGAUGGGGUGCCAGGUGAGCAAAUGAUGACAUACAAGAAGAAGGUCCAGAUGGGUAUACAUUGAGUGAAGCGGGGAGUAAUACAUAUACUCAUGCCACAAGAUGUAAAUGCCACCACAACUGGCAGUUGUGAGGCCAGUUGAUGAUUCUUGCCCCAUGAUGAAUCCACAAGGAUCGAAAGUAAAAUUUAAUUCCCCUCAAAUGAUUUAAAACAAUGUUUCUCAAUCAGUGUGCCUCCAAAACUACAACUUUCAGAAUGUUAGGACAGCCAAAGGCUGUCUGGGCAUGAUGGGGAUCAUAGUUUUGCAAAAACUAGAUGCACACUGGUUGGGAAACACUGGUUUAAGGAAUCGGUCAAAUCAAACAUCCCCGUUAGCCUUAGACAGAAUAGAGGUUAAUGGCAACAUCCAUGGUUAACAGAGUUCAUGCCAAUAUGUCUGGGGGUCUAGGGCACUAAUGGGUCAAUGUCAGCAUUCCUGAAUGUCAAGCACAAUAUGUGAUUAUUGUCAGCAUCUCUGGUUGUUUACAGCAGAAAUUGGUUAUUAUCAGUAACUCUGUUUUCUAGGUAAGUAAGGGGAUAAUGUAAGCAUGACUAGUUGUUUAGUGUGGUUAGAGUUAAAUUAAUGGUAUCUAGUUUAGUCAGCAGCUUAAAAAAGAUAAGAUUUGUGAUGCAUAGCGUGCAUGUAUCACCGCUCAGUACUGUACAAGCCUAGUUACUAUGCAUUUCUAUUGAUUUUUCAGUGACUUCCUGCAGCAAUUGGCACCCACCCCUUUUUGUCUAGGAAAGUAUACUUCCGAGAUGUGUACAGGGGAAAAGUAAGUGUCAGAAAGCAGAACAGAUAACCCCUUUAAGUCUGACUUAACUGUUCCAUACUAAGCCUUAGGCUGGGUUCACACUAUGGAAUAUCCGCCCUAAAUUCCGCUUUGAAAUUGCAGGCAGAAAUUCUGUCUACUAAAAUGUAUAGUGUAGUGAAGGGGUUUCUGUUCACAAAUUCACACUUCGGAAUUUGUGAACGGAAAAUCCGCUUGAAAAUUUCCGUCUGAAAAAUGGCGUUGCUCAUUCUUUAGGCAGAAAUACUCGUGGAACACAUUGCAGUCUAUUGGAGACUGCAGUGUCUGCGUGGUCCUAGCGCCUACUGAUUCAGUCGGUGCUGGCCACACUUGGAAUCUCUGCCUGGAGA